GACGAACGCUGGCGGCGCGCCUAACACAUGCAAGUCGAACGGAGCUGAGAGAAGCUUGCUUUUCUUAGCUUAGUGGCGAACGGGUGAGUAACGCGUGAGUAACCUGCCCUGGAGUGGGGGACAACAGUUGGAAACGACUGCUAAUACCGCAUAAGCCCACGAUCCGGCAUAGGAUUGAGGGAAACGGAUUUUUUCGCUUUAGGAUGGACGCGAGUCCAAUUAGCUAGUUGGUGAGGUAACGGCCCACCAAGGCGACGACUGGUAGCCGGACUGAGAGGUUGAACGGACACAUUGGGACUGAGACACGGUCCAGACUCCUACGGGAGGGAGCAGUGGGGGAUAUUGCACAAUGGGGGAAACCCUGAUGCAGCGACGCCGCGUGGAGGAAGAAGGUUUUCGGAUUGUAAACUCCUGUCGUUAGGGACGAUAAUGACGGUACCUAACAAGAAAGCACCGGCUAACUACGUG
rnacentral:rRNA from 1 species